AAGUCUCAGCCCAUAUCAUGCUUUAUCUCUCGCGUGAAUCUCUCUCUCUCUCCGUUUCAUCUUCCGGCGAUCAAACAUGGUGGCAAAAAAAAAACGGUCACGCCUUCUACACAAAACCAAUCCAGUUCAAAGACAUACCAAACGCCACCGUCUCUUCCGUCUCCACCACCUUCGUCUUCGCCAUAUACUCCCAGAUCCCCACUCUAAGCGGCCAUGGAAUCGUCUUCGUCGUCUCUCCAUCCCAUAGCCUCACUUCCGCACUCCCAAUCAAGUCAAUACAUCGGUCUCUUCAACAACUCAAACAACGGUAACGAAACGAACCACGUCUUCACUGUCGAGUUCGACACGAUCCAAAGCAACGAGUUCGGAGAUCCGAACGAUAACCACGACGGAAUCGAUAUAAACGGUUUAAGAUCGUUUGAGUACUCAGCCGCUGAGUACUGGAACGAGAGAGAGAGAGAUGCAAGGUUUUGGUGUUGGACACAUGCGUGAUACCAAAACAAAAGGUUUAACCUUUUUGGUUGGAAUCCACUUUAACUGUUGUGAACAUGGAUUUGGGUUUGGGUAUGGGGAACACCACUAGAGAUAGAGCUUGACGGUGUAAAAACUUCCAUUAUAUUACCCCGACACUGAAGGAUUCGAAAGCGUUGGAAAGUCUACUGUUUAUGACGACUCUUUGAACAUUUAGACAUUUUGUUUGAUGAUGCUUUGGAUAUCUAAUCAACUGUUUUUGCUGAUUUUUUUUCAGAAUAUUUGCUCGAGCAACGGUGAUGACUUCAGUGCUGAUUAAUAAUCUGCCUGAAACUGUUGAAUAACAGUUCAUUGAACGAAAAAGUGUCGCUGGUGCAGAAGAUUAGGAUGAUACUUUGUAAUUCACUUUUUUGCAUCUGUUUUAGCAGCUUGCAUUUAAAUACCUAACUCUGUAUUU